GCGGGCAUGGUUCAGUGGUAGAACAUGUCCUUCCCAAGGACAGGAUACGGGUUCGAUUCCCGUUGCCCGCUCAA
rnacentral:tRNA from 1 species